UGGGGAAUAUUGGACAAUGGGCGAAAGCCUGAUCCAGCAAUGCCGCGUGGGUGAAGAAGGUCUUCGGAUUGUAAAGCCCUUUCGACGGGGACGAUGAUGACGGUACCCGUAGAAGAAGCCCCGGCUAACUUCGUGCCAGCAGCCGCGGUAAUACGAAGGGGGCUAGCGUUGCUCGGAUUGACUGGGCGUAAAGGGCGCGUAGGCGGCUUGUACAGUCAGACGUGAAAUUCCUGGGCUCAACCUGGGGGCUGCGUUUGAUACGUAUGGGCUUGAGUUCGGAAGAGGGUCGUGGAAUUCCCAGUGUAGAGGUGAAAUUCGUAGAUAUUGGGAAGAACACCGGUGGCGAAGGCGGCGACCUGGUCCGAUACUGACGCUGAGGCGCGAAAGCGUGGGGAGCAAACAGGAUUAGAUACCCGUAGUC
rnacentral:rRNA from 1 species